CAGUAGCCGCGGGAAUACGAAGGGGGCUAGCGUUGCUCGGAAUUACUGGGCGUAAAGCGUGCGCAGGCGGUUGUGUAAGACAGGUGUGAAAUCCCCGGGCUUAACCUGGGAACUGCGCUUGUGACUGCACAGCUAGAGUAUGGCAGAGGGGGGUGGAAUUCCACGUGUAGCAGUGAAAUGCGUAGAGAUGUGGAGGAACACCGAUGGCGAAGGCAGCCCCCUGGGCCAAUACUGACGCUCAUGCACGAAAGCGUGGGGAGCAAACAGGAUUAGAUACCCGUGUAGUCCCUGUCUCUUAUAC
rnacentral:rRNA from 1 species